rnacentral:rRNA from 1 species
CUACGGGUGGCUCCAGGCGAGAAAACUUUGCAAUGUGCGAAAGCACGACAAGGUUAAUCCGAGUGGUUUCUGCUAAAGGAACCUUUUGACAGUCCUAGAAACACUGUUGAAUAAGGGGUGGGCAAGUUCUGGUGUCAGCCGCCGCGGUAAAACCAGCACCUCAAGUGGUCAGGAUGAUUAUUGGGCCUAAAGCAUCCGUAGCCGGCUCUGUAAGUUUUCGGUUAAAUCUGUACGCUCAACGUACAGGCUGCCGGGAAUACUGCAGAGCUAGGGAGUGGGAGAGGUAGACGGUACUCGGUAGGAAGGGGUAAAAUCCUUUGAUCUAUUGAUGACCACCUGUGGCGAAGGCGGUCUACCAGAACACGUCCGACGGUGAGGGAUGAAAGCUGGGGGAGCAAACCGGAUUAGAUACCCCAGUAGUC